GACGAACGCUGGCGGCGUGCUUAACACAUGCAAGUCGAACGAAGAGCGAUGGAAGCUUGCUUCUAUCAAUCUUAGUGGCGAACGGGUGAGUAACGCGUAAUCAACCUGCCCUUCAGAGGGGGACAACAGUUGGAAACGACUGCUAAUACCGCAUACGAUCCAAUCUCGGCAUCGGGACUGGAUGAAAGGUGGCCUCUAUUUGUAAGCUAUCACUGAAGGAGGGGAUUGCGUCUGAUUAGCUAGUUGGAGGGGUAACGGCCCACCAAGGCGAUGAUCAGUAGCCGGUCUGAGAGGAUGAACGGCCACAUUGGGACUGAGACACGGCCCAGACUCCUACGGGAGGCAGCAGUGGGGAAUCUUCCGCAAUGGACGAAAGUCUGACGGAGCAACGCCGCGUGAGUGAUGACGGCCUUCGGGUUGUAAAGCUCUGUUAAUCGGGACGAAUGGUUCUUGUGCGAAUAGUGCGAGGAUUUGACGGUACCGGAAUAGAAAGCCACGGCUAACUACGUG
rnacentral:rRNA from 1 species